GUAUGUCGAAAUGUUUUGCUUUAUUUCCGUGAUCUUGUCAUUGAUUUCAGAAAGUCGCUUCCCAGUUUGAUGGCGAUGAGAUAACCUUUUGGGAUGUAAGCGCGUAGAGAAUCUAGUAGACCCAUCACUAUCUGCUGACUGAUUCUGGCAGUCCUCCAGUAUCUCUUCAGCUUCAAAGAUUAAGUCUCUCAAAGAGGCCAUGACCGUUUUAAGAGUGGUGUGU
rnacentral:misc_RNA from 1 species